rnacentral:rRNA from 1 species
AGGGAGGACCUAAGCCAUGCGAGUCAUUGUAGCAAUACAAGGCAGACGGCUCAGUAACGCGUAGUCAAUCUACCCUAUGGACGGGGAUAACCUCGGGAAACUGAGAAUAAUACUCGAUAGAACAUUAUGCCUGGAACGGUUUAUGUUUCAAAUGAUUUAUCGCCAUAGGAUGGGACUGCGGCCUAUCAGUUUGUUGGUGAGGUAAUGGCCCACCAAGACUAUUACAGGUACGGGCUCUGAGAGGAGUAGCCCGGAGAUGGGUACUGAGACACGGACCCAGGCCCUAUGGGGCGCAGCAGGCGAGAAAACUUUGCAAUGUGCGAAAGCACGACAAGGUUAAUCCGAGUGGUUUCUGCUAAAGGAACCUUUUGUCGGUCCUAGAAACACCGAUGAAUAAGGGGUGGGCAAGUUCUGGUGUCAGCCGCCGCGGUAAAACCAGCACCUCAAGUGGUCAGGAUGAUUAUUGGGCCUAAAGCAUCCGUAGCCGGCUCUGUAAGUUUUCGGUUAAAUCUGUACGCUUAACGUACAGGCCGCCGGGAAUACUGCAUAGCUAGGGAGUGGGAGAGGUAGACGGUACUCGGUAGGAAGGGGUAAAAUCCUUUGAUCUAUUGAUGACCACCUGUGGCGAAGGCGGUCUACCAGAACACGUCCGACGGUGAGGGAUGAAAGCUGGGGGAGCAAACCGGAUUAGAUACCCGGGUAGUCCCAGCUGUAAACUAUGCAAACUCAGUGAUGCAUUGGCUUGUGGCCAAUGCAGUGCUGCAGGGAAGCCGUUAAGUUUGCCGCCUGGGAAGUACGUACGCAAGUAUGAAACUUAAAGGAAUUGGCGGGGGAGCACCACAAUGGGUGAAGCCUGCGGUUCAAUUGGAGUCAACGCCGGG